UACGGAGGGUGCAAGCGUUGUUCGGAAUCACUGGGCGUAAAGCGCGUGUAGGCGGUCUCUUAAGUCUGGUGUGAAAGCCCGGGGCUUACCCCCGGAAGUGCACUGGAGACUGGGAGGCUAGAGUACCGGAGAGGAAGGUGGAAUUCCUGGUGUAGCGGUGAAAUGCGUAGAUAUCAGGAGGAACACCGGUGGCGAAGGCGGCCUUCUGGACGGAUACUGACGCUGAGACGCGAAAGCGUGGGGAGCAAACAGG
rnacentral:rRNA from 1 species